GGUCGCGUAGCUCAGAUGGACAGAGCACGAAGUUCUCUCUAAGCUUGUGGUCAGAGGUUCGAAUCCUCUCGUGAUCGCCA
rnacentral:tRNA from 1 species